UUAAGUUGAAUCUAUGUUUCAUGAAACACUGAAGUUCUGUGUGUGCAAUGAAGCAACAGCUGCACUGAGGGGGAAACACCAUGAUAUGUUGAGGACAGCUACAGUUCACUGACUCUGUGUGUUUGCAUAUGUGUCCUUCCUCUCUGCUCCCAGCCGUUAAGAGGCCAGUGUUGAUCAGUGGCUGUCCAGACCUUUCGGAGCCACUGACACGCCGGCAGCACAAUGAGGAUGUCACUGACUCUACUGCUGGCCACCCUGGGGCUCCUUGUUCAGGAUUCAUCAGGAGAAAUCAUCCUGACUCAGUCUCCUAAAGCUCAGUCUGUUGUUCCAGGACAGACUGUCUCUAUCAGAUGUAAAGCCAGUUCAAGUAUGGGCAGCUACCUUCACUGGUACCUUCAGAAACCCGGAGAAUCUCCCAAACUUUUGAUUCAUUAUGCCACAACUCGUCAGUCUGGAGUUUCAAAUCGUUUCAGUGGGAGUGGAUCUGGAACUGACUUCACUUUGACCAUCAGUACAGUUCAGAUUGAGGAUGCAGGAGUUUACUAUUGUCUACAGAGUGGUUACAGUUACCCGUUCACACAGUGAUACAACGUCGUACAAACACCUCCCUCAGCUGGAGAGCAACUGAUCUGAAUCAACAGCUGCACAGAAAUACAGACACUUUAGACAUUUAACAGACAGUGAAGUCCAUAUAACAGAAGACCAUCAGUAAAUAUGAUGUAUAGCGUAGUAAGUCCUAAUGGUAACUUUG